GAAGUGAAUCCUCGAAACUCGAGGAUUAGACUUCGAUUAGAAUCGACUAUUCGUCGAGUGCGUAGGCUUCGGGAAGUCCGAAGGUGUUUAUAAUGCAUAAAGUGUAUUAAGGAAGGGUCCGCGGGAGCACCAGUGCAAAACUUGCACUGGAGUAGAAAUGCUCUCGGGGACCGGUCCCUGGCAGGGAGGGACCGGUCCCAUCAGGCUGGGUUGCGGAGGUCUCUGAUGAGACCGGUCCCUGGUGGGCAGGGACCGGUUCCCGAACGUUGGCCCGGCGAGACUUAGCCAAAUUUGGCUAAGUCCCGAGAAUGCAGCUCUCGGGAACCGGUCUCUCGGACAAGGACCGGUCUCUCGGGGACCGGUCUCUAAGGCAAAGACCGGUUCCCGAACGCGAAAUCCCCUCUGCUCGAAAUGGCAGCCUUCGGGGACCGGUCUUCCCGAGCUGGGACCGGUCCCUCACUGCGAAAAUGCCCAGAGAGGGCUGAUUCAAAGGAUGAAAAGUUGAGGGGGCUAUCUGCAAAAUGGCCUUUAAUAGAGGUGGGGGACCCCUCUCUUUCCCUCAUUGCUCUCCAACUCUCUCUCUCUCUCACUCUUUCCCUUUCUCUCUCUAGAAGGAGAAGAAGAAGAAGAAGGAAGAAGGAGAAGAAGAGAAGAAAGAAGAAGAAAGGGAAGAAGAAGACUAAGAAGAAGGGGAGAGUCAUCUUCUCUCCCUCUCCCUCAAGCUUGGAGCUUAGGUUAGAGGUGAGCUUCUAACCCUCUAAUGGUAUUUCUAGGGUUUUGGGUUCUUAUGGGUUAGAAUUGGUUCAAAUGGAACCUAUUGGAAAUAAAUAGAUGGUUCGAGCUCGGAAUCGAAGCUCGCACCAUAGAUUUCUCCGUUGUUGAGACCUAGGGCUUAGAAUUGGGAUUUUGGCAAAUCUAGGGUUUUGAUGUAAUUUGUUGGGUCGCUAACCUAAUUGCUAGGUCUCUGAUCGCGUCGGCGAAGACGGUUUGCCGAUCCAACGAGCGAGUGCGGAGUUAUCGCCGAAUUGGGUACUCGAGGGCUCGUUCCGCCCCGAGGAGUUAAAGCGGCGUGCAAAGACCACAACGUCGAGUCUUCUACCAUCGCGGCAUCGCCAAGAGGUGGGUGGUGUCCAUCCCGAAGCAAUCGGGCUCCCUCCUAUGUCUUAGUACAUUUUGACCCCGCAUCUUGUAUUAUUGCAUUAUAGGAUUAUUAUGCAUUGCCCUUCCUUAUGCCUUCCUUGAUGAUAUUGUAGCAUAUAUUGGAUACUGGAUGUAGAGGAUUGGUGAGGAUUGGGUCGAGUCUUGUGAAUCCUAUAAUGUAGAGAAAAUGAUGAACAAUGAACGAGUGGCAUCUAGUCAAUAGUAAACUAUGAACGAGUGGCAUCUAGUCGAUAGCGAACCAACGGACGAUUGGCAAUCUAGUUAAUAGUGUAUGUGAAACCUAUGGACUAUAUGAUGAUUGUAACCCUAGAGGAUAGGGUAUCCUCGAGAUGAGGAUUGGAUCAUGCUCACGGUCUGUUUAAAUCUUGUGAUGGAAGCCCCACACAAGUAGUGCGCUCCGGAUGUUGGUCACGCUAGGGAUUGCCUAUUUGGCCCCGCCAGACGGUCUCGGGUCCGUAGUGCGAGUUAAUUCUCCCUACGUGUCGAGAUGGCUAGUGAGCUGUAGGCGAGCCUUCGGGUAAGCCACGAGAUUGAUGAACAAGUAACUGAGGUAAACGACCGAGUGAAUAGCUUUAUCUUUGGACAUGAUAACCGGUUAGCUGCUUACCUAUUUCAUUGUACAUGCAUCAUAUAUUUAUGAUUGGGCAUAGUAGAGUAGUUUUAUUCCGGUCAUUUACAGCUUUUCUUAUUAUCUAUCUAUUGGUAUAUCUACUUGUGCCCGCUUGGACCUAGUGGGGAGAUCGGCGGAGUCGGCGGCCGAACCCACUGGGAACUAAGGAAGUUAGUUCUCACCCCCAUUUUACUACAGGUUCCAGUUCGGGUGUCCCCGGUGAGCGUGAGGAUCGCGGUAAGGGCCCGGCGUUUUAGUCGCAUUAGCUACCUCCCUUUUUGCAUUAGCCGUCACCCUUUUGUACUUGAGAGUAGAUGAUGUAUAGGGUGAGGCGGAGUGAUUGUAUUUCUAUUUUGGAAGAAUGUAAAGAUGUAAUUGAAUGUAUUAAGUCAAAUGAAUGUAAUAGAUAGCUCUUCUCUCUUGAUGUACUUGUAUAUGUUUCUAUACUCGUAUCUUGCUCUUGAUUGUUUUGCACCGAUUGUGCUCUCGUUGUAAUUAUUGAUUGUGUAUGUAUUCAAGUUAUUUUCCUGGGAACUUGUUGUACACAAUCUCGUUGUUAGCCUUAGGCGGACAGGAGAGGUGCUGUCCGUCCGGCGUCUGUUCGACGUGCCCGGGCCGAGCCAAAUUGGUAUCGGUCGCGGGGCGUGACAGAUAAAGUGGUAUCAGAGCACCAGAGCAAGUAAAGAGAGAGUCUAGGAUGACCUAGGAGACCCUAGGUUGGUAAACCCUAAGGUUAUAGGGACGUGAGUGAACGUGAACCCAUGGCGAUGGCGGAAGUUGAUGGAUUGGGUCGAAGUCGGUGUUAUGUCUCUAGCUGUGAAUAGAGACGGAUCCAAGUGACACUGGUUCUUGGCUCGUAGUGGUUGUGUCGGCGGCCGACGACGCGACGCUAAGAGUCCAGAACUAGAGCACUUGUGAGCUUCCGCCCGAUUUUGUUGUCGAGUCGUUUAAUUUCGCGAACGUCGCGAAGUUAUCGGAUUGAGAUAACUAACCGAGUUGUUGCUUUUCAGGAGCAAAUGUCCCCAAGGCGUUACGUGCGUAGGUCUGCUCCGGUACCGCCUUCUGCGUAGCCCGAGCGGCCGAGAUCGGAGAAGGUGCAGGAGCUGCGGGAGCAGGUCGCUGCAAUGUUGGGCGCGAUGCAGCGCCAGGAGGCUAGGUUCGAGCAGCUCCAGGAGGCUAGGUUCGAGCAGGUCGCUGCAAUGUUUCCCCGACACCGAGAAGCGGAAGCUGAAGGAGAGGUUUCGAAAAUUGAGACAGGGGGACCGUUCGGUGGCGGACUACGAGCAGGAGUUCUCCCACAUUAUAGACUCCGUCCCGGACGUGGUCAAGGAUGACGCGGAUCGAGCCGAAUGGUUCUUGCAAGGACUUCGGCCGUGGAUAUAUAGAGCGGUGCAAUUGUUCCAGCUCACGACUUUCGCCGAGGUCUUCAAUAAGGCGCUAUGGGCAGAGCAUGGAGAUGCCCACGUGCGAGAAGAACGUGAGUUGUUGGCCGGAUCCCAAGACAAGGGAAAGAAGCGAUCGGGCGGCGGUUCGGGGGGACAAUCGAGUUCAAGGAGGCCCUCGAAGUAUCCGCAGUCCCAGUCGUGGGGCCGUGGGCCGCAACGGUGCCCUAUCUGUGGAGAUCGAGGCCAUCGGGCACCGCAGUGUAGACAACGACAAGGACGGUGCUUUAAUUGUGGACAAGAAGGACACAUUAGCCGCGACUGUCCGGCAAGGGCCUCAUCUACUCCGUCAGUCGCAUCGACUCCAGCGCCCUCGCCAUAUCAAGAAGGGGCCCCGUAUGUUCCUGUGUCGGCGGGACGCACACUGGCGCCGCGCCAGCCGGAGGUGGCUCGAUCAGCGCCGAGCGGACGGGUAUUCGCCGCUCAGGCCCAUGCCGAGGAGCCUGCCCAAGCCGAGGAGCCUGAUGUUGUGGCAGGUAUGGUUCUAAUCAAUAGGGUUCGCUCCAGAGCUAUGUUCGAUACGGGUGCUACGCAUUCAUUUAUUAGUAGAGCAUUUGCACGCAUGCAUGACAUACCCAUAGAAGCAAGUGGCAAGUGGCGAGUUGAGGGUCCUGAGUCGUCGUUUAAUACCUACACGGAAUGCUCGUCAUGCCCAGUACAAGUAGGUGACUGGAUAAUGCCCAUCCGGAUAUUGGAACUCACUAAACUGGAGGCGUAUGACGUCAUUUUGGGCAUGGACUGGCUCUCAAAGUAUUACGCCACGAUCGAUUGUAAGAAUAAAUCGAUCACCUUUCGGGAGCCAGGACAGAAGGAGUUCGUUUAUCGAGCUUGUCGGAGUUCUUGCUUCGUCGCGACAGUAUCGGCGACGAGAGCUAGGAAGUUGGUCAGCGGCGGUUGCGCGGCAUUUUUGGCGACCGUCGUGGAGGUGGACCGGGUGGUGCCGAAACUAGAAGAUUUAUCGGUGGUGCGGGAAUUUCCGGAUGUAUUUCCCACGGAGCUGGCAGGGAUGCCGCCGGAUCGGGAGAUCGAGUUCGUUAUAGACUUGAUUCCCGGGACGGCGCCAAUCUCAAAGGCCCCAUACCGCAUGGCGCCGGCAGAGUUAAGAGAAUUGAGGGAUCAGUUACAAGAUCUUCUCGACAAAGGGUUUAUCCGGCCGAGCGUAUCGCCGUGGGGAGCGCCGGUGUUGUUCGUGCGCAAGAAGGAUGGCUCGUUUCGACUCUGCGUGGAUUAUCGAGAGUUGAAUAAGGUCACAAUAAAGAACAAGUACCCGUUACCCCGAAUCGACGACUUAUUUGAUCAAUUGCAGGGGUCACGAGUGUACUCGAAGAUAGACCUACAAUCCGGCUACCAUCAGUUAAAGAUCAAGUCGGAGGAUAUAUCUAUGGAUUUCAUUGUUGGCUUACCUCGCUCGACAGGGGGACACGACGCGAUCUGGGUGAUUGUGGACCGCUUGACGAAGUCAGCGCACUUCUUACCGAUCCACACCACCUGGGCGGGAGAUAAGUUGGCGCAGGUAUAUCUUGACGAGGUAGUGAGGUUGCACGGGGUGCCGAAAUCGAUUGUGUCGGAUAGAGACCCCAAGUUCACUUCACAUUUCUGGAAAAGCCUACAGGAGGCCCUUGGCACACGACUCGAUUUUAGCACUGCAUUUCAUCCCCAGACCGACGGACAAACUGAAAGAACCAUUCAGACUCUGGAGGAUAUGUUGCGAGCGUGUGCCAUCGAUUACAAAGGAGGUUGGUGUAAGUAUCUGCCAAUGGUCGAGUUCGCCUACAACAACAGUUAUCACGCUAGCGUGGAGAUGGCACCGUUCGAAGCUUUUUAUGGGCGGAAGUGCCGCUCUCCUAUUUAUUGGAGUGACGUGGGCGAACGCACGGAAUUUGGCCCCGAUAUGCUGCGGGAGGCAGAAGAAAAGGUCCGCCUUGCUCGCAAACGAUUACUCACGGCGCAGUCUCGACAACAGAGCUAUGCGGAUAGGCGCCGACGAGAUUUGGAGUUUGCGGCAGGAGACCGCGUCUUCUUGAAGGUUUCGCCUAUGAGGGGUGUAAGGCGAUUUGGAGUUCGGGGAAAAUUGAGUCUCCGAUAUAUUAGCCCCUAUGAGAUCUUGGAGCGGAUUGGGACGGUGGCUUAUCGGCUCGCGUUGCCGCCGAAGCUAGCGGAUGUGCACAACGUAUUCCACGUCUCCAAUCUACACAAAUACAUUCCUGACCCCGAGCACGCAAUGUUAUACGAGCCGCCGGAGCUUCAGGAAGACCUGAGCUACGAGGAAUUUCCGGUGGCAAUUACUGCUCGUGAAGUGCGCAAGUUAAGGAAUCGAGAAAUUCCUUAUGUCCGAGUCCGGUGGAGCAAUCAUGAUGAUCGCGAAGCCACCUGGGAGCUCGAGGAGGAGAUGAAGGCGAAUCAUCCUCGCCUGUUCGAAGGUUGAAUCGAGGUAUGAGUUUAGAAUUUGGAAAUUCUAAUUAAGUCUUGUAGUAUCGAUAUCGUUUCGAGGACGAAACUCUUUUAAGGUGGGAAGGAUGUUAGGAAGUGAAUUCUCGAAACUCGAGGAUUAGACUUCGACUAGAAUCGACUAGUUGUCGAGUGCGUAGGCUUCGUAGAGUCUGAAGGUGAUUAUAAUGCAUAAAGUGCAUUAAAGAAGGGUCCGCGGGAGCACCAGUGCAAAAUCUGCACUGGAGCAGAAUUGCUCUCGGGGACCGGUCCCUGGCAGGGAGGGACCGGUUCCAUCAGGCUGGGCUACGGGGGUCUCUGAUGAGACCGGUCCCUGGUGGUGAGGGACCGGUUCCCGAACGUUGGCCCAGCAAAAAUAGCCGAAAUUUGGCUAAGUCCCGAAAACUCAGCUUUCGGGAACCGGUCUCUCGGACAAGGACCGGUCUCCCGGGGACCGGUCUCUCAGGCAAGGACCGGUUCCCGAGCGCGAAAACCCCUCUGCUCGAAAUGGCAGCCUUCGGGGACCGGUCUUCCCGAGCUGGGACCGGUCCCUCACUGCGAAAAUGCCCAGAGAAGGCUGGUUGGAAGGAUGAAAAGUUGAGGGGGCUAUUUGCAAAAUGGCCUUUAAUAGAGGUGGGGGACCCCUCUCUUUCCCUCAUUGCUCUCAUUUUCUCUCUCUCCCUCUCUCACUCUUUCCCUCUCUCUCUCUAGAAAGAAAAGAAGGAGAAGAAGAAGGAGAAGAAAGAAAAGAAGGAAAAGAGGAAGAAGUAGAAGGAGAAGUUCAAGAAGAAGAAGAAGAAGGUCUUCUUCUCUCUCUCCUUCAAGCUAGGGCAAGCUUGGAGCUUGGCUUAGAGGUAAACUCCAAACCCAUCCAUUGUAGAUUUCUUAGGAUUGGGUUUUGU
rnacentral:lncRNA from 1 species